rnacentral:lncRNA from 1 species
CCACGUCUGCCUCUCUCGUCGUCCAGGUCGUCCUGUCUCUUGCCAGACAGAUACUUCUCGAGCUCCAAAAGCCGCCGCCGCCGCCGCCGCCACAUGCCUGAAUCCCAAUCCCGGCUCCACUCCGGAGCUGCCGCGCCCACCUUGCCAGCAAGCUCCCGCACCUCCAGCGACUGGCGCCCCUGCAGUGAACCUUCUGCUCCAGCGCGGCAGCGCCUGGCAAGCUCUUCCACGCCAGCAUCGGCGGAGCUGAUACACGAGGCGGAGGCGAGAGGACUGGGAGAGCGUGCGUGUCGGUUGACGCUGCUCCUGCUCCUGUUCGAGCAAGGUACUGAACAUUGUAAUUAUUGGCCUGAUGUGUUCUGUUCAUCCGUAAUCUGUAGGAUUUAUGUUUUAUUUAUGUUGAUUGAAUGAAUGAAAAAAAUCCACGCUUAUUAAUUUUUAUUGUAAUUGUAAUUGGACACGAAGAAGAAUGGGACAGUCUCUUUUCCGGAAAUAUGAGUCUAAAAGCAAAACAUGAUUGCAUCUUUUCAUUAGUUUUUCUUCGCUGGCCAUAAUUCUGUAAAGGAAACAUAUAGCAGGUAUAUAGUCUUCACAUAUAUCUAAGCAUUGCAGUUUAGCUGGUAGAAUCAUGAACCCACCAUUUAAUUUGGAAAAGUGCAGGGUAUAUAUGCCAAUAACAUGUAGAACAGGUGAUCGAUUAUACAAUUUACAAACUUGCAGUGAAAAAGAGCCUUUUUCAGGAUAGUAGUUCUCUGAGAUACAUUUAUCGUCAAAAUUUAUUUAUCGUUCUCUGGGAUAACCAGUUGAAAGGAGGUACUGAAAAUAUAUGACAUUUGAAUGCAACUGUGACCCAGCAGCUUUCACUCACUAUGAUGUGUGAGGUUCUUUGUCAGCAAUUAGGACUGUCCGAUCUCCUCAAUCCGCUGCGCGACAUCAGACAUUGUAGGCCUCGAGUCAGCAUCUUGACUGCAACAUUUUAGCCCGAGCUGCAUAAGUCGCACCAUGCACUCCUCUUUCCCGUCCUUCUGCCCCCGUGCUAGGAGCUCCACGUCGAAUACCUCUGCCCUCCACUCCUCAGGUGUAAUGGAACACACCCACCGUGGCAAAUCUACUCCCCCGUCAUCCUGAAAUCUCUUCUCCAGUGGAGACUUGCAGGUGAGAAGCUCCAGCAGUAGGAUGCCGAAGCUGUACACGUCAGAUUCCUGGGAGACCCACCUAUUGCGGGUGACCUCAGGUGCACGGUAACCGGGGGCAUUGGAAUACAUGCCAAGUGUUAUCAGGCCAUGCUCCGACACACAUGCGUCGUGGGUACCGGUGAGCAGGAUGUUGGAAGACUUGAUGUUGCCAUGGCAGCUCGUUGGUCCAGCUAAGUGGAUAGCCGCCACACCGCGCGCAGCAGCAAGUGAGAUGGCUGACCGCUGCUCCCAGUCCAAUGGAGCUGGGCCACAAAAACGAUCACCUAGAUUCACAUAUCAUGAAUUAGUGAUGCCUCAGAAACAUUAGAAAUUGUAAAGGCAAGCAUAUUAUAGCAUUGUACGCUAUAUACAUUACCGUGGAGUGCUUUUGCUAGGCUACCCAUGGGGAUGAUAUUAUAUACGAGCAGCUUCUCAUCCUUGCUGCAGUAAUACCACAGCAGUGGUGCUACGUGUUUGUUCUGGAUGGUGCCAAACAGCAUGACAAGCCGCCCAAAGAUCGCCUCCCCCAAGUCCACAUCUUUCAACCUCUUGACCACCAGCUCAUAUCCACUAUCAAGUGUUGCUCUGUAUGUUGUCCCGACUGUACCCUUGCCCAGAACUUCAGUCGAUGCCCCAAUCAGGUCUUUCAGGUCGAACAAUUGGCCUGUCAUUGCCGACCCAAUGAUAGAAGUUCCCACAUUUUGUAUACUUAAAUGUGAUAGCGCUUUGGCUGGAGCCACAAUUCCUGUUUUUGGGGUACUGCCACUGCUUUCUUGUGAAGACAUGCUUAAAUGCGAUAGCGCUUUGGCUGGAGCCACAAUUCCCGUUUUUGGGGUACUGCCACUCCUUUCUUGUGAUGGCGUCUUUUCAGCUGGAGCUACAAUUCUCACGUUUUGGCUACUGCUACUGCUUUCCAGAGAUGGUGUUUUGGCUGGAGCUAGUUUACUUUCUCUUCCGAUCUCUUCGAUCUGUUGCACAACUUUAGGCAUUGUAGGCCGCGAGUUGGCAUCUUGACUGCAACAGUUUAUGGCCAGCUGCAGAAGUCGCACCAUGCACUCCUCUUCCCCAUCCUUCUGAUCUCGCCCGAUGAGCUCCACAUCGAACACCUCCGCCGUCCACUCCUCGCGUACAACGGAACACACCCACCGUGGCAAAUCAACUCCCUCCUGAUCCUUUCUGCUAUUUGUUGGAGCCUUGCGGGUGAGAAGCUCCAGUAGUAGGACGCCGAAGCUGUACACGUCGGCUUUCUGAGAGACCCGCCUAUUGUUGAUGAGCUCAGGCGCGCGGUAGCCCGAGACACUAGAAGACAUGCCAAGUGCUAUGAGGCCAUGCUCUGACACACAUGCAUCGUGGGUGCCGGUGAGCAGGAUGUUGGAAGACUUGAUGUUGCCAUGACAGCUUGAUGGUCCAGCUAAAUGGAUAUACUCCACACCACGCGCAGCAGCAAGUGAGAUGGCCGACCGCUGCUCCCAGUCCAGUGGAGCUGGGCUAGAACCUUGGUCACCUAGAUUUACACAUCAUGAAUUAGUGAUGCAUCAAACACUUUAGGAAGUUUAAAGGCAACCAUUUGAUAGCAUUAUACAGUAUAUAAAUUACCAUAGAGCACUUUUGCUAGGCUACCCAUGAGGAUGACAUCAUACACUACCAUCUUCUCAUCCUUGCUAUAGUAAUACCACCGCAGUGGCACAACGUGCUUGUUCUGGAUGGCGCCAAUCUGCGUGACGUGCUGCUCAAACUCUGCCUUCGGCAAGACCACAUCCUUCAGCCUCUUGACCACCAGCUCAUAUCCACUAUCAAGCGUCGCUUUGUAUGUUGUUCCGACUGUACCCUUGCCCAGAACUUCAGCCGAUGCCUGAAGCAGGUCCUCCAGCUCAAAUGAUUGGCCUGUCAGCGUCGAACUAAUGAUAAAAGUUCCAACAUUUUGGCUACUGCUUUUCUGUAAAAGUGCCGUUGUGGGGUUAAUAUCAUUGCUUUCUUGUGAUGGUGUCAUUUUCACUGGAGCCACAGUUCUCAUGUUCUGACUACGGCUACUGCUUUCGAGCGAUGGUGUUUCAGCUGGAUCUUGUUUAUUUUUCCUUAUCCAAGAAAAUAGAGCAAGUCUCUCUUGUACCUGAUGUGGAGCUUUUUUAAGUUUGCGAAGACGUUCUGCAACUUCUAACAUCGCAGGACGUUUGGUAAGUUCCAUCUUCAAGCAUUUACCUGCCAACUUAGCAAUCUCUUCAAUAGUCUUCAUGUCGCUCGAUGUCACAAUUUCAGGAUCAAACAUCUCCCUCACCCUCCUAAUCCCUUUUGAAAGAGAUUGACUAAAACUUUCUACCAAGCCAAUCUUCCCGUCCUCCGUUCUUGCUUUUUUUCUGGUUAUCAGUUCCAGGAGCACAACUCCAAAACUAUAAACAUCACUCUUCGCUGUGAGGCGGCCACUCUGAGUAAACAGAGGGUCCAUGUAGCCUAUACUUCCUAUCACAUUUAGAGUAUAUAGAGUAUUUUCAGUGUUGACUAGCCUUGAUAUUCCAAAGUCUGAUAUUUUUGCACUGAGUCCAUCAUCCAGAAGUAUAUUAGCAGGCUUGAUAUCACCAUGAAUGACCUGGGUAUACAUUUGUGAGUGCAUAUAGGCCAAUGCUUCAGCACAUUCAAUGGCAAUUCUUAGCCGUAUAUCCAAAGCGAUGGGAAUAUUAUCAUGGUGAAGAAUGUUACUCAGAUUUCCUUUAGGAAUAUAUUCCGUGACCACCAUUAGGGCAUUUUCAUCUACACAGUAGCCAACUAAUCUGACUACAUUCUUGUGAUUGAUUUCACGGUGGACAAUCAACUCUUUGGCAAAAUUUUCUUUUACAUUGUAGAUAAACUUUUUGACUGCAACCAUACUUUUGUCCUCAAGGACUCCUUCAUAAACUUCUCCAAAACCACCUCUACCAAGCAUAGUUUCAUAGUUGUUGGUAAAUCUCCUUAUCUCAGCUUCUGUAAAACAUGUCACAUUAUGAUUGCUACGUGCAACCCAUUUAGAUCUAUGCUCUUCCUGGAUAAGUUGGGUUACUAUAUUUCCUGGAUGAUCCAUCUUUGGAAGUAGCAGGGAACUUACUCAAUGUCGACGUAGAAAACAGUUUUGGUAGUGCUAAAAGUCAAAUUUAAUCCAACAUGUAAAUGAGGAAACAAAUAAACAAAGUACGUAAGAGUGCUUUCCUCGGAUUAAUCAUCAAUGAAUUAGUAAGGUUUAUUUUUUGAAACGAUAGUUAGUAUGGAUUUUUUUUAAACGAGAAUUAGUAGGGAUUUCAUAUGUCCAUUUGGACAACACGUAUAGAUGCUGUUUGUACUCAUUAGAGUUCGUUUAGAGACAACAGAUAUAGAUGCUCUUUUUACUCAUUAGAGUUCGUUUGGAGACAACACAUAUAGAUGCUGUUUGUACUCAUUAGAGUUCGUUUAGAAACAAACCAUACAUCUCCUCUAGCUGCUGAAUAUAACCAAUAUUUUUUUCUGCGAGUAAAAUAUAACCAGUCUAGAUUGCUAUUUUACUAUUUUAGUUAUUUACACAACACGGCAGAGAAUCAUUUGUGUUUGUUCAUGGACCACAUCGCUAGAGGAAGUAGAACCUAGGAGAGAGUGUAAUUAAUAUUUAUUGUUGAGUUCUGCCAUGGAUUUUGAAUGACAAUUUCAUGGCAAGAUCUGGGUCGUUUUACAUGUUUGUUUCCUUGCAGGCGAAACAAAGAUGUGAAGAGAUUGAAAUCUAAAGUGCUAAAAAUUGUGGUGAAGACAUGGAGAUGGCCAUAUGUUGAACUAAAACAUACCUCUUAAGAUGGACGUCGUAACAUAACACGAUCAAUCGAGCCUUCUUUUGUUGGUGGUCGCACAGAUCGCCAUGGAAUGGAUCUAGAAGAAAGAACUGAUGGUGUGUAGCCUUCUUUCAUGAAUUGCCAUCAUCGAUGGUCAACUACCAGAACACGAAGGGGGUGGCCUUAUCCUGCUUAAUGACAACUGCUACCAAAUUAAAUAAAGAUGAUCAUGCCAAACAAGUUAUGUAAGAGCGUCCCAAUCCAAAGAUUGCACUAGAAAACAAAAAUUCAAUUUAGAUACCACAAUAUGUGUGGACUUUGGACUUUGGACUUUGGGACAACUAG